AAUAGCGAUAGAAAGGAAAUAAUUAAGUAAUUAGAAGAAAAACGCUUCUCUUCGUGAGUGGGAAAUGUAUAAUUGUGCCCAAAUUGUAGAAAAUGUCAGUAGAUAGGCUACGCAAGAAAAACAACACUUGCAUAUGCAGACAUGCUGGAAACACAGAUCCUGUUCAGGGUUCGCGCUGCACUUUCCAUUCGCUCUCAGCCCUGUGAUGAAGUUCUGCUCUUCCCUCACACCUUCACAUCCUGUGGAUGGAAUAAGAGGCUUUCAAACGACGAUGCCCCGUGCAUCUCCAGCAAACAAGUCGUGGAAGGAUUUCGUGGAUGUGAUUUCUAAUCGAGGAUGCUCGUUUAUCCGUUUCACAUCCAGAUGAGCGGUUUUUCGAUGCCAUGAGGAGUCCAAGGGGAAUAGGCAGCUGGAGCUCGGAGUCGCCCGCAGGAGGAAGCGGAGGCAGCGCUGCCUCAUGAGGCUGAUGCAACAUGAGGGAUGGAAGACAAAUGAAGGAUGCUACAGGAAUCAUGGGAGAGAUGAGAUCUAGAUUCUUUCAUAUCACUUUAGUGAUAGUGAAAACAUCAAUCAGAGAAGAAGAUGGUUCAGUCAAAUGGUAAAAAAAUA